AAAUAAUACCAUCAUGCUUCUGUAUUGCGUACUACAGGGUUCGGUCGCUGAACUACACUUUUUACCACACCCUACACGUCAACAUACCUUUGAUAUAGUAUCGCACAAAAUUACUCUUUUCAGUCUGUUACAUUUGAACUAAGAAGACAAAUCACACAGAGCUUUGCAAUACCGUUUGGUCUAUAUGGUUAUGACUUUAAACAGCCGAAGGAGGUGGUGUUUCAUUUCAAAAUAUGAGGCCAGAUGGGCCGUAUUCCUCACCAUAUUAUAUGUAUGGUGCAUUGUUUGUGGAGGUACAUCCUCCAUAACACCAACAACACCAAUUUCAACAGCCAGUGAAGUUUGUAUAAUAAGAACUAAAGCAUCUCUUACCACAGCUAUGACCCUCAAACAAAAUACAUGCAUAGCUGCGACUUUCACAACUACAUCUCCAACAACUACAGAUUCAAUAUCAAUUGCAUCUACAACUGAGGCUCCUACAGAAAAUGUAUCUUCAGCAACAGCUACAGGUCAAACAGCAAUGUCAUUUUCAAUGACAACAGAAACUGGAGCUUUCACAACCACAGAUGUGAUCCCCACAACCACUCUCAUAUUCUCACCAAGUACAAAUGCACCAUCAACAGCAACAAAUGCUGCUUUAACAACAAGAGCACCAUCAACAGAAACUGAAGCUUCCACAACCGUAGAUGUCAUUCCAACAACCACACAUAUAUCCUCACCAAGUACAACAAUAGCAUCAUCAUCAGAAACCGACGCUUCCACAACCAUAGAGAUGACGCCCACAACCACACUUAUAUCCUCACCAAGUACAACUACACUUUCAACAGUAACAAAUGCUGCUUCAACAACAACAGCACCAUCAACAGAAACUGAAGCUUCCACAACCAUAGAUGUGAUCCCCACAACCACACUUAUAUCCUCACCAAGUACAACUACACUUUCAACAACAAAUGUUGCUUCAGCAACAACAGCAUCAUCAACAGAAACUGAAGCUUCUACAACUAUAGAGGUGAUCCCCACAACCACUCUCAUAUCCUCACCAAGUGCAACAACAACAGCACCAUCAACAGAAACUGAAGCUUCCACAACCAAAGAGGUGACCACCACUACCACUCUCAUUUCCUCACCAAGUACAACAACAGCACCAUCAACAGAAACUGAGGCUUCCACAGCCAUAGAUGUGAUCCGCACAACCACUCUCAUAUCUUCACUAAGUACAACAUCACCAUCAACAGAAACUGAAGCUUCCACAACCACAGACGUGAACCCCACAACCACACUCAUAUCCUUACCAAGUACAACAACAACAGCACCAUCAACAGAAGCUGAGGCUUCCACAACCAUAGAUGUGAUCCCCACAACCACUCUCAUAUCUUCACUAAGUACAACAGCACCAUCAACAGAAACUGAAGUUUCCACAACCAAACAGGUGACCCCCACAUCCUCUCUCAUAUCCUCACCAAGUACAACUGCAGCAUCAACAACAACAAAUGCUGCUGCUUCAACAACAACAGCACCAUCAACAGAAACGGAAGCUUCCACAACCAUAGAGGUGACCCCCACAACCACUCUCAUAUCCUCACCAAGAACAACAGCACCAUCAACAGAAACUGAAGCUUCCACAACCAUAGAGGUGACCCCCACAACCACUCUCAUAUCAUCACGAAGUACAACAACAACACCACCAUCAGCAGCAACUGAAGCUUACACAACCAUACAUGUGACCCCCACAACCUCUCUCAUACCCUCACCAAGUGCAAGAACAACAGCACCAUCAACAGAAACUGAAGCUUACACAACAAUACAUGUGACACCCACAACCUCUCUCAUAUCCUCACAAAGUACAACUACACCACCAACAACAACAAAUGCUGCUUCAACAACAACAGCACCAUCAACAGAAACUGAAGCUUACACAACCAUACAUGUGACCCCCACAACCUCUCUCAUAUCCUCACAAAGUACAACUGCACCAUCAAGAACAACAAAUGCUGCUUCAACAACAACAGCACCAUCAGCAGAAACUGAAGUUUCCACAACUAUAGAGGUGACCCCCACAACCACUCUCAUAUCCUCACUAAAUACAACAACAGCACCAUCAACAGAAACUGAGGCUUCCACAACCACAGAGGUGACCCCCACAACCGCUCUGAUAUCCUCACUAAGUACAACAACUACAGCACCAUCAACAGAAACUAAAGCUUCCACAACCAUAGAUGUGAUCCCCACAACCACACUUAUGUCCUCACCAAGUACAACUGCAUCGUCAACAGAAACAAAUGCUGCUCCAACAACAACAGCACUGUCAACAGAAACUGAAGCUUCCACAACCAUAAAUAUGAGCCCCACAACCACUCUCAUAUCCUCACCAAGUGCAACAACAACAGCACCAUCAACAGAAACUGAAGCUUCCACAACCAUAAAUAUGAGCCCCACAACCACUCUCAUAUCCUCACCAAGUACAACAACAACAGCAACAUCAACAGAAACUGAGGCUUCCACAACCAUAGAUGUGAUCCCUAUAACCACACUUAUAUCCUCACCAAGUACAACUGCACCAUCAACAGCAACAAAGGCUGCUUCAACAACAGCAGCAUCAUCAACAGAAACGGAAGCUUCCACAACCGUAGAUGUGAUCCCCACAACCACUCUCAUAUCCUCA
ensembl:lncRNA